CGCGGCCUAUCAGCUUGUUGGUGAGGUAAUGGCUCACCAAGGCAUCGACGGGUAGCUGGUCUGAGAGGACGAUCAGCCACACUGGGACUGAGACACGGCCCAGACUCCUACGGGAGGCAGCAGUGGGGAAUCUUGCGCAAUGGGCGAAAGCCUGACGCAGCGAUGCCGCGUGGGGGAUGAAGGCUCUCGGGUCGUAAACCCCUUUCAGCAGGGACGAAAAUGACGGUACCUGCAGAAGAAGCCCCGGCCAACUACGUGCCAGCAGCCGCGGUAACACGUAGGGGGCAAGCGUUGUCCGGAUUUAUUGGGCGUAAAGAGCUCGUAGGCGGUUCCGUAAGUCGGAUGUGAAAACUCAGGGCUCAACCCUGAGACGCCAUCUGAUACUGCGGUGACUAGAGUCCGGUAGGGGAGCAUGGAAUUCCUGGUGUAGCGGUGGAAUGCGCAGAUAUCAGGAGGAACACCAGUGGCGAAGGCGGUGCUCUGGGCCGGAACUGACGCUGAGGUGCGAAAGCAUGGGGAGCAAACAGGAUUAGAUACCCUGGUAGUCCAUGCCGUAAACGGUGGGCACUAGGUGUGGGAUCUUCUAACGGAUUCCGUGCCGUAGCUAACGCAUUAAGUGCCCCGCCUGGGGAGUACG
rnacentral:rRNA from 1 species